rnacentral:tRNA from 15 species
UGGCUGCUGGUGGAGGGGCCGGGCUUCAACCUGC